rnacentral:lncRNA from 1 species
CUGUGUGUGUUUGUGUUCUCCUUUUCCGUUCCAAAGAUCCCCCUUUUUCUGAAUGAGGUCUUGGUAUUUAUAAUGAUUUUUCUGUGACCCGAUGGGCUCAGAAUGAAGCCCAAAAUUUCUGGUAUUCGCAAGCUUCGCUAGGCGAGUGGUGCAGCGAAGGGUUCGCUAGGCGAAGGAUUUGCUCGCCUAGCGAGCAUGCCAGUUUAAGUCCUUUU